UCAUGGCUCAGAACGAACGCUGGCGGCAGGCUUAACACAUGCAAGUCGAGCGCCCCGCAAGGGGAGCGGCAGACGGGUGAGUAACGCGUGGGAAUCUACCGAGCCCUACGGAAUAACGCAUGGAAACGUGUGCUAAUACCGUAUACGCCCUUAGGGGGAAAGAUUUAUCGGGGUUUGAUGAGCCCGCGUUGGAUUAGCUAGUUGGUGGGGUAAAGGCCUACCAAGGCGACGAUCCAUAGCUGGUCUGAGAGGAUGAUCAGCCACAUUGGGACUGAGACACGGCCCAAACUCCUACGGGAGGCAGCAGUGGGGAAUAUUGGACAAUGGGCGCAAGCCUGAUCCAGCCAUGCCGCGUGAGUGAUGAAGGUCUUAGGAUUGUAAAGCUCUUUCACCGGAGAAGAUAAUGACGUA
rnacentral:rRNA from 1 species